UCCCUGGUGGUCCAGUGGCUAAGACUCUGUGCUCCCAAGGCAGGCAGUCCAGGUUCAAUCCCUGAUCAGGGAA
rnacentral:tRNA from 1 species